CUUUUGUGAGAGGAAUGGCGAAUGGACUUCCCAACGUUUUCUGGACAAGUCUGUUACAUGGAACGGUUCGUAGGUGGAAACCCAUGACUAGACUAUCACAAGGUAUUAGAAGGAAAGUUAUACCCCGGGUUGAUUUGUGUCAGCCCGAAAGGGAACAAGUUUCUGAAAAAAAAGGCAGGAAAGAGGGCAAUAAAGUUGUCUUACUCCAGAACCCAAGUUAAGGGCGAAAAAGAAAUUGCAUGUCCAGGGAAAGAGAGACAAACUUGGUAGUGCAGUGCCUAUGUUAUACAUUUGUAUCCAUUAAUUCUCCUUUAUCACCAGACACUGACAUAUUUGCUUUUUGAUGCCAAACUCAUUUUCUAGGGAUGUCUCGUCUUUCUGCUGGUAAUAAGUAUAAAUGCAGGCGUCUUGUGACUAAUCCCAGUCCGCAGUGCGAUAUUGACCGGCAAGGUAGAGCAGCUGACGAGGUUCAGUCCGGAGUUGGCUUAACCAUGACUGAUCAGCGUCGAAAAGGAAGUAUUUCCAUGAAAUCAAAUCAGGUGGGGGGAUAUCUUCCUGAAUUCUAUCGCUUUCUGAAAUAUUCUCCAAAAUGCAUCUGGAAAUUGUUCUAAGUUCUAACAAGUAACAUGAGAAAUAAGUUUUUGAAUGAAUGAAGCAGUGGCCUCUAGCAUGUGAUCAGGCAUUAAAUGAAAUUCUCCUCUUGCUUGUUCAUCAAGGGUUAAGUUACUGGAUGACUCUGCAAAACUUACACCAGGGAAGGUAUUAUGGUUAAUUUUAACCAGAGGAAAGGUAAUAUUCUCAAUAAAAGAAAUAUUAACAUCUAGAGAUUGUGCAAGUUGUAAAAGUUGUCGAAACGAAGUUUUAGAAAAUGUUGAAAUUUCAUAGUUUCUUAUGCCAGGCAGCAACAACAACAACAACAACAAAGAACCCAGUGUAAUCCCAUAAGUGGAGUUUAGACAAUUAUAAAACAUAUUGCCUUUAUCAUGAAAUAUAUGAAGUUUAUGAUCCCACCAUGCGCUCAUAGCAUCUUACUGAAAUACUUUCU
rnacentral:lncRNA from 1 species